UGCGCAGGCGGUUUUGUAAGUCUGACGUGAAAUCCCCGGGCUCAACCUGGGAAUUGCGUUGGAGACUGCAAGGCUGGAGUCUGGCAGAGGGGGGUAGAAUUCCACGUGUAGCAGUGAAAUGCGUAGAGAUGUGGAGGAACACCGAUGGCGAAGGCAGCCCCCUGGGUCAAGACUGACGCUCAUGCACGAAAGCGUGGGGAGCAAACGA
rnacentral:rRNA from 1 species